rnacentral:rRNA from 1 species
GAUGAACGCUAGCGAUAGGCUUAACACAUGCAAGUCGAGGGGCAGCACAAGGUAGCUUGCUAUCUGGGUGGCGACCGGCGCACGGGUGCGUAACGCGUAUGCAACUUGCCCUAUACAGGAGGAUAACCCGUCGAAAGACGGACUAAUAUUGCGUAUGCUCACAACUUGGCAUCAAGUGGUGAGGAAAGAAAUUCGGUAUAGGAUAGGCAUGCGUCCCAUUAGCUUGUUGGUGAGGUAACGGCUCACCAAGGCAACGAUGGGUAGGGGAACUGAGAGGUUUAUCCCCCACACUGGUACUGAGACACGGACCAGACUCCUACGGGAGGCAGCAGUGAGGAAUAUUGGUCAAUGGGCGCGAGCCUGAACCAGCCAAGUCGCGUGAAGGAUGACUGUCUUAUGGAUUGUAAACUUCUUUUAUACGGGAAUAACAAGAGUCACGUGUGACUCCCUGCAUGUACCGUAUGAAUAAGCAUCGGCUAACUCCGUG